rnacentral:rRNA from 1 species
CCUACGGGAGGCAGCAGUGGGGAAUAUUGGACAAUGGGCGAAAGCCUGAUCCAGCAAUGCCGCGUGAGUGAUGAAGGCCUUAGGGUUGUAAAGCUCUUUUACCAGGGAUGAUAAUGACAGUACCUGGAGAAUAAGCUCCGGCUAACUCCGUGCCAGCAGCCGCGGUAAUACGGAGGGAGCUAGCGUUGUUCGGAAUUACUGGGCGUAAAGCGUACGUAGGCGGUUAUUCAAGUCAGAGGUGAAAGCCUGGAGCUCAACUCCAGAACUGCCUUUGAAACUAGAUAGCUAGAAUCUUGGAGAGGUGAGUGGAAUUCCGAGUGUAGAGGUGAAAUUCGUAGAUAUUCGGAAGAACACCAGUGGCGAAGGCGACUCACUGGACAAGUAUUGACGCUGAGGUACGAAAGCGUGGGGAGCAAACAGGAUUAGAUACCCUGGUAGUCCACGCCGUAAACGAUGAUAACUAGCUGUUCGGGCUCUACGAGCUUGUGUGGCGCAGCUACGACAUUAAGUUAGUCCGUCCGUCGGGAGGUACGGUCGCGAGAAGUUAAACGUACUAAUUAGUUAAGUUAGUUACGGCGUGAGACGUUGCCGACGGACGACGACGAGGGAGGAGG